rnacentral:lncRNA from 10 species
CAUAGUAAGAAAAAAAUACAAAUUUUUAUUAAAUCAGUAACUUUAGAAGAUGAAUAUUUAAAGUAUGAUUUGCACAUCAUCAACAUAAGGAUUCCAAAUUCACUAUUAAGGCUUUUUUAAAAUGUAAAGUAAGAUAAAGUCAGCAAUAUUUUAUUUUCCCAAUCAAAUAUUUCACAUUUCCUGGCCCUUAACUGAAAACAAAAUUAAAAUAACUUAGAAUACCAGUGUGAUUCUACUACACUACAAAAAGAGUAUGCAGUAAAAGAGCUCCAAUUUGCACAAAAGGAUAAUAUUUACUUAAUUCUGUGGAAUUCAAAGAUGAUUAAAUGUACAGUAUCUUCAAAUUUAUGCAUUUGUAAAAUCUCAGUUCAGAGACUACAUACUUUUGGAAAAGUAUAAUAUACAAUAUUAGUAUUUUUCUUGAUUACGGGUUUCAGUGCCUAAUAUACCCACACUGUAGAAGAAUAUGUAUGAAGAAAUUGAGGUCAAAACAAUGAGAAGUGUGAUUUACUCACGUAGCUAGGUAAUGUCUGAGGUUACAGCUUUCUUUAUUGAGAUGUGAGGAGCAUAUGUUUUAAAUAAUUUCCAAUAAUUCACAAAUUUUUGUGGCCCAUUUAACUUAAGUUCAAUUUAUUUCAUUCAAAAAUCUAUGCAGUGCUAAAGAAAGAGGAAAAGUCCCUGCGUUACAAUGCCCUACAACAUUCACAGAGAGAAACGUCAAAGGGCAAUUUCGUUUUUGUACAAAAUAUUCUUUUAAGUGAGGUAUCCUGUAGGAACAUUUGAACUCAACUUGAAAAUUCACUGGCUUAAAAAUGUAAAAAAAAAAAAAAAGUUCCUAAUGAAGCAAUGAAAUGAGCAAAAAUCAUUAAAGAAAAUGUGUAAUUUUUUGGUAAUGUAUGAUUUUUAUUCUUUCACCUGUGGACACAUAAUGGUGAACUAAACAAAACAGGGUCUACCACUUACAGAGAAGAGGAGCAUCUAUAUAUAUAAUGUAAUAAAACUUAAUGCAUUUUUAUGAUACUAGAAGAAGGGGUACUGCAGGAGCACAUAAUAAGGAAAUAUAAUUUAGAGAGUCACUAAAGGACUUCAAAAGGAAAGGACAUAAACUGACACAAGUUAGACAAGCAAAGAAUAAUCUGGGCCAUAAAGUGGGCAGGGGAGAACAUUCUAGAGUGAAGAACCAAUAUGCAUGACAUCUUGAAGGUUAAAAGAAAGCAGAAUACCUUUUAGAAACUGAAAAAUCAUCUAACAUAUCUGAAUGUAGACUAAGAGGGAGACAAUGUCUAGAGAUAAAGCUGGAUUGGCAAGGGAAGCCACUGAAGCAGACAGUAGUAUAAAUCAAGUUAGAAAGAACAACCAGAAAGGGAGAAUGCAGCUAGAGUGUGUGUUAUUAUGAAAGUCAAGAGAAGAGGGUGUAUCUAAAAGAAAUCCUCAAACAAAUGCUGCAACACAUUGAGAGAUGAUGACUGAAGAAUGGCAACUAUAUUAAAAGACAUAACACCACAGUAAGAUGAGCCUCAGUGGAAGGGUAGGAAGGAGGUGGCCGAUUUAAGAUUAUGGAAUGAGUGAGUAUGAUGAAAGAGAGGCAGUAUGUACAGAGGCAAUUUACUUAAGAAAGGAUACACAAAGUAGAGGAAAGUAAAGGUAGACAGAAAGCUUAAGCUAGAGAUAUUUGUUUUUUUCUUUUGACUGGUACAGACUUGAACAUGUUUAAAAGGCUAUGGGAAUUCAUGAGCUAGCAGAGAGCCAGCAAAGAAGGAAUACAAGAUCCCUGAGAAGACAGGAAGGUUGGAAUUCAGAUCAAGACAGUGAGAGGAGCCUAAGACAGAAGCUGAAGUACGUUUUCCAUUGUUAUAGGAAAAAGAGAAGAGGAAAGACAUAAAGCCAAGUAAAUCUGUAGUGCAAAAAUAUGAGUUUUGUGAAAAAAAACUGCUAAUAUUUUUCUAUGUAGUAGGUAGUUCUCUAAAGCAAAGCUUUCUGCUAAAACACACAAAAAAGCUGUUGGAGCUUUAAGGAGGAGGUAUGAAAUAACCAUUUCAGGCAGAGUUCUCAAUAUAGGUAGAUAUCCAACAUGGCAUUUAAUGGCAGCAAAGUGGCAUUUCUCUCAAUUGGUGGAUUCUGUCGGGGUGAGGUUUCUGUUAGUCAGGUGGAUGGGAAGAUAAUCUAAAAGAGUGGCUGCAGAUCUGAAUUACGUAUCUAAAGCUAAUAAAAAGGAAGUCAUAUUUUCUGAAAAGUCCAUUAAUAUUAUAUAUUAUACCAAAUGAUACAAAUGUAUUUUAAAACAGCAUAGUUUCAGUUAAAGGUCUACAACAUAUAACUGAAGACUGUAGGAUUCAGAAAUAAGAUGACAUAAAUAAAUGGAAGUAGAAUUAUGAAAUCACAUAGCUGAAGUCUGGGUCUUCUACUUAUGAAUAACACAAUGCUUUCUGUGUAUGAUCAGAAGUAGGUUUUGAAAAAUAGCAAAUCAAUUUCCUUGUCUCUUUCUCCCUCAGACUCUCUAGGUUGUUCUUAAAAGAGUCUCAUCUAUUUAUCCAAGUGUACUAUAUAAAUACCUUUUUUGACGUGUGCUAUUUUUGAAAAAGUUUGAUAAGCAUGUAAUUUAAUAAUUAUGGUUAAAAUGAUAUUUUAUUACAUCUUCCAAAAUAAUUUUCAAACUCAUUAAUUAUUGUAAUUUUUUUUGAGACAGGGUCUCACUCUGUCACCCAGGGUAGAGUACAGUGGCAUGAGCAUGGCUCACUGCAGCCUCACUCUCCCAGCCUCAAGCAAUCCCUUCCAUCUCAGUCUCCCAAGUAGCUGGGACUAUAGGCAUGCACCACCAUGCCCAACUAAUUUUUUUUUUCUUUUUUGUAAAGAUGAGGUCUCGCUAUGUUACCCAGGCUGGUCUUGAACUCGUGGGCUCAGGUGAUCGUACUGCCUCCGCCUCCCAAAGUGCUAGGAUUACAGGUGCGAGCCAACAUACUCAGACUUACCAUAAUUUUAUAUUCAGCCUGAUUAAAAAAAACGGUUUAAGGAAACAAUUCACUCAAUCAUUUAGGGCCACAAAUGACUUUGGUGAAGCCAGAGAUUCAGAAGAUCGACACUUUUGCCAUUUUUCCUUGGCACAGACUCCGGCAAAACACAGAUUUACUGCAUGAUAGAAAGAUAUCACUCAUUUUGACAAAGUAGUAAUAAAAAGCUUCACUGAUCCACUCAAAAAAGAAUAGUAUGAUAGACUGUACUAUAAACCUUAAGACUAUAAGCAACAGUGAAAAUAAAAACAAAUUCAUUGCUGGAAAGUCUUAAAUUCAGACUACAUCUAAUCUUGAUAAAACAUAUAUAAGCAGAUGUUUGUACAAAUUAUUUUGAAGUUAACCUAUAGAUGACAAUAUUUAAUUUUAUCAUCUUCUUAAAGGUCUAAUUCAGUAGUUCUCAAACUUCAACAAAAAUAUCUACACAAACAGACUGCUGGGUCCCACACACAAAACUUCUGAGGUGGGCCUGAGAAACGGCAUUUUUUUUUUUUUUUUUUUUUUGAGACGGAGUCUCACUCCGUUGCCCAGGCUGGAGUGCAGUGGCACAAUCUCUGCUCACUGCAAGCCCCACCUCCCGGGUUCAUGCCAUUCUCCUGCCUCAGUCUCCUGAGUAGCUGGGACUACAGGCACCCACCACCACACCCAGCUAAUUUUUUUUUAUUUUUAGUAGAGACAGGUUUCACCAUGUUAGCCCAAAUGGUCUCGAUCUCCUGACCUCGUGAUCCGCCUGCCUCGGCCUCCCAAAGUGCUGGGAUUACAGGCUUGAGCCACCGUGCCUGGCCGAGAAACUGCAUUUCUAAAAAGCUCUCAGGUGAUACUGAUGCUACUGGUCUCAGGACCACACUUUGAGAACUAACAGCAUGGACUAUGUAUCUCUCACAAUGAUUAGCAUUAUGCGUCACAUGUUAAGAAAUUUAAUAUUUCCUUCAAAAGGAAAGGACAUAAAUUACACAAGUAAGACAAGCAAAGGAUAAUCUGGGCCAUAAAGUGGGCAGGGGAGAACAUUCUAGAGUGAAGAACCAGUAUGCAUGACAUUUUUAUAUAUUUAUAAAAAAUAUAAAUAUUCUUUAAAAUAUGACAAUAAAUAAUUUAUAUUUUCCUUUAUUACAUAUAGACUUGAUAUGACAACAAAUAUAUCUUCAUAGGGCUAGAAACAAACAUCAACUAUACCACUUACAGCAGAAAAUAAUUUUAGCAAGAAAAAUACCACCAAAAUGUUUUUAAAACCCAAAUACUACUGAUACUAUAAUUCUAGUUCCAUAUCCCAAUGAAAGAAUUUUAUUUCAAAAUUGAAUGUUUUGUGACACUGGAACCACAUGAUUUAAGGAACAAUUAUGGAGGACUAUAGUUAUGUGUACACAAGAUAUACUGCCUAUUAUUCCCUCUAACUUUAUAUGCUGUAUGCUGUAUACAUACAUAUUGGUAGUCCAUAUCUAAACAAGAUAGAUGUCCUUUUGUACUUUUCCAACUCAGACAUGUGAGAAAAUUUUUCUUGCUGUAAUGUCUUACAAUGCUUUCUUUCAUGAAUUUAAGCAAUUAGUUCCAAUAUGGACAACAGAAAGACUAUCUGUGAAUGCAAAAUAUAGUAAUAAUAAUAAUAAGGCCUCUUUUAUUUACUUAUUUGGUAUUUCAAGAAAAGGUUCAUUAUAUAUGGAUAGAAACUUUGUAUUUUCUGAAUGAGAAAGGACAUUAAAUAUUCUUUUUUUUUAAUCACCCAAAGUUACACUGUAUCCUGUGUCUGGAGCUAGUAACUAUUGAAGCCAAGACUAGGAUUCAGGUAUCCUUGCUUCUUAUAUAACAUCCUUUCUAAAAUAUGCUGCUGCAAUUUGCUAUACUUGGUUGAUCUUUGAUUUUACUGUGCAUUCAUUAGACAGUAAUUUAAAGAACAUCCACAAGUCUAAAAGUUUCUUAGUUAUCUAUAGGAAGACAUUCUCACCAAGCCAAAUAUUUGUAUUUUGUAAAACAAUGGCCUAAAUCUUACAGACUUCCUUUGAACAAUACUUGGAAAUUUGUAUGUGAAGAAACCUAGACAAGGAGAUUAAUUACUAAUAAUACUCAAAUCAAUACCUUCUCAAUCUGAAAUUAAAAUAAUUCUUCAUUUAAUCAUGUAAGUUUGAUUCACACAAAGACCUCACAGAAAUGAAAACAUUAUUUCAAGAUCUUUUACUUUAUAAUCACUUGCAAAAAUAGAGAUCACACUUCUAUUUGUUAUUUUACAUAAUGCAUACAUUUAAAAUUAAAACUAAGCAAUUUUGAAAAUAUGUCCAUUUGUUCACCAUUCUAAAAAUGCACAUAAGCAAUGGUGGAAAUAAAAUUUAAUGUAAUGAUCCACUGUGAUUAUCUUCAUUCGAAUAAGCCAUCCUGGAAAAUCAAACUAGCACUUUAAAAUAAUUUUGGUGUUUUUGAAACUCAAACCUUAAAAAAACAAUUUGGAUAAUGGAUAAUUCUAACCUUUCUAAAUAUUUCUAGAAAGAUGUAAAAUCAGCAUCACAACUUAAAACAAGGAAGCUCUCUUUUGAGCAAAUAUUAGCAAAUUCUAACUAAGGUAAUGAAAAUGGAACUUCAAAGAACCUUAA